rnacentral:rRNA from 1 species
UACAGGGGGGGGCAAGCGUUGUUCGGAAUUACUGGGCGUAAAGGGCCAGUAGGCGGCCAACUAAGUCACACGUGAAAUCCCCAGGCUUAACCUGGGAACUGCGUGUGAUACUGGAUGGCUUGAGUUUGGGAGAGGGAUGCGGAAUUCCAGGUGUAGCGGUGAAAUGCGUAGAUAUCUGGAGGAACACCGGUGGCGAAGGCGGGUCUCUGGGCAAUUCCUGACGCUGAGGCGCGAAAGCGUGGGGAGCAAACGGG